rnacentral:rRNA from 1 species
CGGCUCAGUAAAUCAGUCAUAAUCUGUUUGAUUGUAACACCCAUUGGAUAACCGUGGGAAAUCUAGAGCUAAUACAUGCCGAUCCUGCCGGGCCGGGGGCAACCUUGGUUCGGCACAGCAUUUAUUGGACAAACCAUCUACGUUGGGUCGUAACUGGCUCAGCGUGAGGUGAAUCUAGAUAACUCUGCUGAUCGUAUGGCCUUGAGCUGGCGACAUUUCAAUUGAAUAUCCGCCCUAUCAACUUGAUGGUAAGGUAGUGGCUUACCAUGGUUGCUACGGGUGACGGGGAAUCAGGGUUCGAUUCCGGAGAGGGAGCCUGAGAAACGGCUACCACAUCCAAGGAUGGCAACAGGCGCGCAAAUUACCCAAUCCAGACACUGGGAGGUGGUGACGAGAAUUACUUGGUGGCGGCAAACGCCGUCACCUGGAAUGAGUGCCAUAUAGAACUCGCAACGAAAGCAACUGGAGGGCAAGUCUGGUGCCAGCAGCCGCGGUAAUUCCAGCU